rnacentral:lncRNA from 1 species
CUGGAACUGAACUUUCUUAGCCACAGAGGCUAAGUGUUAUGACCAAGCCUCCACCUCCUCCUCCUCCUUUUCUUCUUCCUCCUCCUCUUCCUUCUUUGCCACUUUUCUCUUUUUCUUAGGAUGAGGAAAUGUAGACAACCUUACAACCUACAAGAUGUCUUUUAUUUCAAGAUCUAUAAACUCUUGGAGGCACAAGGCUGAGUGACUGGAGUGUAGCUGCCGCCGCCACCACCACCACCACCACCACCACCACCAUCUUAUCACCGCCAGCAAUGAGAUCUCAAGACAUUCUGUAAACAUUUCUUUGGCAUGUAUCAGUGUCCCUGAGAGCGUUGAUAAUCUGCUUGAAUGUGAGCUCAAUGCUGGGACGGCCUCCCCGGACUUGGCAGGCAGCCCUUGAACAAACCUUUUGUGCCUGCAUCCCUCUGAUGGACAGGCACUGAGGAUGCCGGUGACCCAGCUUCUAGAAAGAAUCACAGCAGGGAAGGGGCAUUGCUAAGUAGUCUUCCAACCUGGGGACACAAGCUAAAAAUGAGAGAAAACUCAGAUCAACAGUGCUGCUGAGCUUAUUACGUUUAAGACGAAAAACAAUACCUGAUUAAAGCAACAAAACACCUGGAUAUUUUGCAGUUAGCCCCGUUAAUCAGAGAAGGAUGAGCCUUGGGGCUGUGGCUCAGGUUCCUAAUCCUGUUGCUAGAGUUUUUCACUUUUGUUCUCAUUUCUGCGGCUGACAUGGGAUCCUACAGAUUGUUUAUCCCAAGGCUGUCUGGGCCUGGGCUCUGUGAACAGUGUCACUCUAAAAAUAACAGGCUGUGCCGAGAAUAGCAGACUUUCUCCUUUUUCCUGCAGAAGACGACUUCUCAGCUCCUUGGAGGGGUCAGUACGAGGUGAGAGCCAUAGAAAGAUGGCAACGAAAAAGAAAGAGACAUUCUGCAAUGGGUUGAAUGGGGUCUCCCUGACAUUUACAUCACCCAGAACCUCAAAAUAUGACCUUAUCUGGAAACAGGGUCUUUUGAGAUGUCAUGGAUUCUGCUGCCAUCAGCAGAGAGACAGAAAGGUCUGCCCUCUGGAAGUCAGCUGAAGCCCAGUGCAAAGUGCAGCUGGUCAAGACAUUGUGGUUCUCAAUCAGGAACCCUUUGCAAUGUCAGCCUCCCCUAGGAUGAGUGAGCAAGCUUGGCGGGAAUAUGGGGGUGUUGAUUAUGGUCUCUCCUCUGGGACAUUCAGAAUCAAUCUGUCCGUCGCAAGAUCGAAAUAAAGUGGUGAUAUAGAUGAGUCUGAGAACUUAUCUACAACUCACAGCAGCAACUCUCUGUGUAAAUGUUAAUUGUACAAUCAGGGUAAAAAAAAUAACUCUAAUACCAUAUGUGCAUGUUAGGAAAUUAUCUAAGUGCAUAUGGAAUCGGGAGCUCAGAGGCUGAAGGAACUGAAAGGAUUUUCCAUAUAAAAUUCUUUACUGCAUGUUACAGGCUGAAUUGUGUUUCCUCAAAAUUUAUAUGUUAAAUCCUAAACAUUGGGACCUCAGAAUGUCACUGUAUUUGGAGAUAAGGUCUUUAAAGAGGUGAUUAAGGUAAAAUGAGGUCACUAAGAUGGGCACCAAUCCAAUAGGACUGGGGUCUUUAUAAGAAGAGAAUAUUAGGACACAGACAUAAAUACAGGGACGACCCUGUGAGGACAAAGGGAGAAGACAGCAUCUACAAGCUCAGGAGAGAAGCUUUAGGAGGAGCCAACCCUUCCCAUACCUUGAGCUUAGACUUCCAGCCUCCAGGACUGUGGGAGAAUAAAUGUCUGCUGUUUGUAAACCACCCAGUCUAUGGUGUGCUGUUAUAGCAGCCUGAAAUGGACUAAGCCAUCUCAUAAGAAGAGGAGACAGAUACACACAGAGGGACAACCAUUUGAGGACACAGGGAGAAGACAGUGUCUACAAGCUCAGGAGAGAGGCCUCGAGAGGAACCAGCCCUGCCCACACCUUGAUCUUGGAAUUCCAACCUCCAGGACUGUGGAGAAUAAGUGUCUGUUGCUUGUAAGCCAUUAAGUCUAUGGUAUUAUGUUACAGAAGCCUGAAAUUGACUAAGACAUCUCAUAAGAAGAAGAGAUGAGGACACAGACACACACAGAGGGACGACCACAUGAGGACACAGGGAGAAGAUGGCAUCUACAAGGCUACGAGAGAGGCUUCAGGAGGAACCAGCCGUGCUCACCCCUUGAUCUCAGAUUUCCAGCCUCCAGAACCGUGAGAAAAUAAAUCUUUGUUGUUUAAGUCACCUGGUCUGUGGAACUUUCUUAUGGAAGUCCUAGAAAACUAAUAUACUGCAUGAAAAGAAACCUUCCUAUAACAUCAUUCAUGAGGAUAAAUUUAGCUUGUAUUGUGUUUCUUCAUCGUCAAUAACUUAGAAUAAAAUGUGAGAAGAACAGUAAUGUAAACAUACUGAUAUUUACCCCAAAUGGGAAAAUUGUAGCUAGUAUUUUCCCUCAAGAAGAUCUGUUCCCUUUAUUAUAGAAUUGCUAUUCCAACCACUUCAAUAUUAUAAUUCCUACUAUCUUCCUUAACAUCUCUAUAAAAUAAACCUUAAACAUUUUCCAUCAACAUCUUGCAAAUCAAUUUGCAGGCCAAAAAUUAUUUCUAACAUCUUCCUGAAUUUUUUCAUAUGAUAAUUUAAAUUUAUACUCUCUUUGUUUCCUUUGUGAAAAAACAAUUCCUAGUUAGAAUGAGAAGAAAGCCCCAAUUAUGUUGGGAUUAAAUGCCGG